GUUUACUAAGUGGUAGGAGAGCGUUCUAUUUGCGUCGAAGGUAUACCGGUAAGGAGUGCUGGAGCGAAUAGAAGUGAGCAUGCAGGCAUGAGUAGCGAUAAUUAAUGUGAGAAUCAUUAACGCCGUAAACCCAAGGUUUCCUACGCGAUGCUCGUCAUCGUAGGGUUAGUCGGGUCCUAAGUCGAGUCCGAAAGGGGUAGACGAUGGCAAAUUGGUUAAUAUUCCAAUACCAACAUUAGUGUGCGAUGGAAGGACGCUUAGGGCUAAGGGGGCUAGCGGAUGGAAGUGCUAGUCUAAGGUCGUAGGAGGUUGUACAGGCAAAUCCGUAUAACAAUACUCCGAGAACUGAAAGGCUUUUUGAAGUCUUCGGAUGGAUAGAAGAACCCCUGAUGCUGUCGAGCCAAGAAAAGUUUCUAAGUUUAGCUAAUGUUGCCCGUACCGUAAACCGACACAGGUGGGUGGGAUGAGUAUUCUAAGGCGCGUGGAAGAACUCUCUUUAAGGAACUCUGCAAAAUAGCACCGUAUCUUCGGUAUAAGGUGUGGUUAGCUUUGUAUUAGGAUUUACUCCGAAAGCAAGGAAACUUACAACAAAGAGUCCCUCCCGACUGUUUACCAAAAACACAGCACUCUGCUAACUCGUAAGAGGAUGUAUAGGGUGUGACGCCUGCCCGGUGCUCGAAGGUUAAUUGAUGGGGUUAGCAUUAGCGAAGCUCUUGAUCGAAGCCCGAGUAAACGGCGGCCGUAACUAUAACGGUCCUAAGGUAGCGAAAUUCCUUGUCGGUUAAAUACCGACCUGCAUGAAUGGCGUAACGAGAUGGGAGCUGUCUCAAAGAGGGAUCCAGUGAAAUUGUAGUGGAGGUGAAAAUUCCUCCUACCCGCGGCAAGACGGAAAGACCCCGUGGACCUUUACUACAGCUUGACACUGCUACUUGGAUAAGAAUGUGCAGGAUAGGUGGGAGGCUUUGAGUAUAUGACGCCAGUUGUAUAUGAGCCAUUGUUGAGAUACCACUCUUUCUUAUUUGGGUAGCUAACCAGCUUGAGUUAUCCUCAAGUGGGACAAUGUCUGGUGGGUAGUUUGACUGGGGCGGUCGCCUCCCAAAUAAUAACGGAGGCUUACAAAGGUUGGCUCAGAACGGUUGGAAAUCGUUC
rnacentral:rRNA from 1 species